UUCUGUAUUUCAUGCAGUAGGUUUGACCUCUCAGCUAAAAAAGAAAAGGUCUGUGAGACCUCCAUUCAUAUUCCACUGAACCUUAGAGCUCAACAAACAGGAAAAAUAAAGACUUAAUGCAUUAGGCCUGCAUGACAGACUCUCUCUAUGCAUUACAUCUCUUUUAACCAGAUGUGAACUGUAUUAUAGCCAGAAUAAAGGCUGUGUGUGCUAGAGGCUAAGCUCUUGAAUCAGGAAGCCAUUUUAUAUUAUUCUUCAGACUCUUAUACUGUACAAACCUGCUGCAAUUCAAGUGUCAGUAGACUAGCUGAUGCUGACAAAAGUAAAUAUUGCAAAAGUCCUGUUUACAAAGAGAAUAAUAAACUGAUAUGUCUAAGCACAUUAUUUCCAUUAGAAGACUUCCAGUGUUGCAUCAGUGCAUUUCACUAGAUAACUGAAAUUAAUAUUAUUGGGUUUUGUUGGUGCAGACAUUGUUACUGUGAUUUCAUGUCUACACAUAACACGUUUAGUACAUGUUGAAAUGGUUUUAAUAUUUUGACUCUCAAUAAGUAAAAAUAACAUUUUUACCCUUUUUUUAAAAUUUCUGUUCAUGCUUUACUGAAUGUUAUGUACAUAAAUGUUAAUUGUGGUAAAGAUUCAAACUCAGUUUUUAAAAAGCAAUUAAAGCAGCGUGCCUAGGAAAAAAAUUUCAAAAUGUGUCAAGGGGAGAAUGGAUCUAGAUGCAAGUCUUCCAUGUCUCAAAUGACAUUUAAUGAUAGGAUGAAACUAAAGAAACACCACUUGGUCUCCUGGUUUUGUUUUAUGAGCAAUGGCUCUUGGAGACCCUGAAUUUCAGAAGCAGGCUCAAGACCACAAUUUGCAUGCAGACACACCCCCCAGUGUGGUCCAUUUUUGGCUUCCAGGAAUGUGUUUUUUGUGUAGGCACACAGUUUGUGGUCAUUGGGAGUGGGGCUGGGCCCAGCCUCAUCCCCAUGGGCACAGCUGUGAGCAGCUGUGACAGCAAUGAGCCAUGGAGUGCCCAGGGGCACUGACCAACCCCCAAAGGGAACAGAGGGCACACAGGAGCAGUGCAUGAACAUCAGGGGUAUAAAAGGCUGGGCUGAAGAGCAAGAAGGGCAGAUGCUUGCAGCCUUCUGAAGUGAUGUUAUACUCUGUAUGGGCAGAUGCCUGAAGCCUUCUGAAGUGGUAAGGUGUGUUACUCUGUAUGAGUUGAAGCUUCCUGAGAUUGUAUGAUGAUACUCUGUGCGGUCUCUGUGGUUGUCUCAACUGUGACAUGUGCUGCAACAUUUUUGUAUGGUGCCUUUCAUCACAUCAUAAGAGAAGUCUAAGUCCCAGUUAAAAGCUGCAUGUUGUGCUAGACUCUAAGUGCUGCAAGCUAAAUGCUGUGAAAGCCAGCUUUGCAUCCAGCCAGAUUAACGAAGGACAUUCUUAGGCCUCUGAAAAGAAGCAGGGAAGGUGUGCAUUGGAACAACUUUCACUCUAUCUUCUCCAGGUUUUCUGCCCUAUUCUGUCCAUGCCCAAGUUGGUUAUGAUUCGGGGGCUAUGUUUUACGUUAAAAUGUGACAUUUUACAGAGAACUCUCUCCUUUCUGUGUGCUUUAAAGCUGUACUGUAAUACAGCCCUCUGGGAGGUUUUCACAAACAGUUUGAAAAUCCCUGCAAUGGAGUUAGCGAGAUGUAACCUUGUCAUGUGGCCCAAGGUAAUAUGCUCUGGAUGGUUAAUCAAAUCCUUCAGUUAAAGCAAGGAUUGGAGUGACUGACUUCUUUGGUGUCCUUGGAGCAUAUUUGGAAAACUCAAAAGACUUAUGAGGCUGUUGAAAGGUGUUCCUCUGGGGGAGGACAGCAUGCCUUGAUGCACACUCUUGUCUAACAAGCCAACUCAGGUCCAUUUACAGCAUCAGAAGUGGACUGCAGUGUCCACUUUUGACUGUUCAGUUGUCAUCUGGUGAAAGUGGUUUGUCUUUGUGUACGUUUCAGUAUGAUGCUGUGGUAUGCAUCUUUAUUUUUUCAAAAGUCACUUUUAUUUAUUUUCAAUAAAAUUUUAUUGCUUUUGUCUUGAUUUUGUGACGUGAAACAAGCAUGAAGUGGGAGAUAAAGGCAGUGGCUGAGACAGCAAUGCUUCUUUAGCUGCCUUCCUCAUCCUGAUAGAGUUGUCUCUGAUUCUCAUUUAUAUUUGCUACACUGGAGUUACAUCUAUUCAUGCUUUAUUCCUUUGCUCUCCUUUACUUGGUUUUCUUUUUCAGGCAGUUACUCUGCUUUAUUGUUCUUGAGUGCACAAUUCCACUGCAGUUAUAUUUAUGAAAAAUUUUAGCCAAACAAACUAGCUUGGCCUGUGUUCCACAGGGAUUCAUUAAAGUCUUUGUUAUUCUUACUAUUCAUGUUAAUGCUUUGAAUUUUAAUCACUUACACAUGCAGAUAAAUAGUACGAGUUCUUUAUAGUUGUAAAGCAGGUUCUAUGAAUUCUGUAAAAUCACUUCUGUUUCAUCUAAUAUUUGCUUUAUAAGGUUUUCAGAAGGAUUCAAUUCUGAGGAGUUUGCUGGGUUAAAAUCCACACUGACAUCCCUGGUGAUUUUUAUCCAUACUAGAUUUAACUUUUUAUGGUGUUUUGUACAUAACUUUUUGUAUGUUAAAAGCCAUAAGCUUUUGCCAUAUGCACAUACCAGGCCCAUGUUUCGUGUCCCCGCACUCUUAGACAGUGAAUGUCACUUGUGACCCUUUUUUGAAUUUUAAACACACAGGAACACACUCGAAGAGCUUGAGCAUGGCUAGAGCAGACAGAACACCUACUGAGGCAGAGCCCAUGACACAAAUAAUAACUUAACAAUUGAGACCUAGGUAGGAUCUUAGUGCAGGAUCAGCGAGAUGAUGGCAAUGGAGGUCACAGAGUGGUGUGGAUGUACCAGAGUGGGAGGAGCACUGCUCUCCCCAAGGAGCCUUGGGAAACAUCACCAUUAGCAGUGGCUAGUUCAGAGGCAGAUGUGUUCUUUGGAACUUUCUGAAAGGCAGCUCCUUCCACAGAUAGUCCUCUGUGGACUGCCAUGGUAAUUGGUGAAGUGCAGUUAAUUCCAGUUCCGUAAUGAUGCUUCCUACACCCACAGCAGUGCAGGAUGAGCUGCAGUAUUUUUAUGUGGGGAAAGAAGGUUUCUGGACACCUAAGACAGUGCUAAGAAACCAUACAAUUAUUUCUUAAUAUCACAAGCAAUUUGGUUGUUAAGUAAAUGAUUCUGUAUAGAGAAGAAACCACAAAACAUGUAGUUCUUGAGAGCUGCUGCUUCAAAUGCCUCUAUAGCUGUGGAUUAGGAAGGAGCUCUAACAGACAUAAAAGGUAAAAUCCCAUAUUGGCAAUUUAAAUAAGAGUAAUUUUUCAUUUUCUCUUUUGGUUUUCCUCUCAGAGAGAACAUUUUUACCCCUGACAAAGAUUUUGAAGUGUUUAAUGAUGCUCGUCCUGUGUGCUUUAACUUUGAUAGGCAAAACUGUGUAUAUUCUCGUCUCCCUCAGCACAGGUUUAUUUCAAAUUGUAGCUGGUAAGAUGUUCAAAUACAAAAACAGAGAUCACAGAUUUUCCUUAAAGUAAUGAAAUUUAUUUCAACUUCCAAAUUAAUUUGUGUGCACAUUUAAUCUUCUAGAAUGUUUACAAGAAAAAGAACACAUUCACUCCCUAAUGAUAUCAAAAACAAACAAAACAAGCCAUUUUCAUGUGGUCUUGCAAUCAUCACACAAACGAAGGUCUUAAAAUUUUUUGUGGUGUUGAUAUGAAAAUUUUAACUUAAUUUUUGUUUGCAAGGAAAAAAACCAGAGCAAACAAUGCUUAGUUUUCCCUGGAGGGUAGUACCCCUUUUCCUUAGGUUUACAAUGGACUGGUUGUGCUCAGAUGAACAGUUAGUACAUCAUAAUUCAUGUAACAAGGCUAACAGGAGUUCAAGCCUUCGUUGUAUUAAAACCUCUAGAGACAGGAAGGCAGCUUAUACACUUUAAUAUUCUCUGGCUUGAUGCCCUGAUUUAAAACACUCCUACAGAACCUUUUACAUUAGCUUUGGAUUGGUUGUGUUCAAAGUAAUGGAAUGCAAGUUGUGGUAGUUAACAAAGAUUUAGAAUAUAUGUAGUGUUUUCCAUCCCAAGAUCCCAGAGCAGUUCAACACAUAAUUUCCUUAUAACCUUUCUGAAAAUGCAGCUUAGAUUUUAAAUCUAUAUCAAGACAGAUUAUAACUGUUACUAGAGAGGGUUACUGGUAUUUUUAAAUCUUUCUUAAUUCUCUAUUACACAUUUGGUUUAUCUGCUUUGGAGAUGGAAUGUGAGCACCAAGCAAAAUUACAGCCCAGGUGAAUUUGGCUGGGUACUGGCAGCCACUGUAUGUGCAAUUUAAAUUAUUUAUAUACUCCUUUGGGGGACUUUAUUCACUUCUGUCAAUCAUAAAACCCCUGAACAAUGGUUAUUGUGGUUAUAUCUUUCGGAGAAAAGGUACACAGAAAUCAUUGCAUACUUCUUUCUUUUGGUGUCUCUGAUUUCCUAGAAGUGUUGGUGAUCAGUAAGAUAAGAAUUAUUUUUUCAGCUAUUGCAUAAGAAUUAAUUUUUCAUCUAUUAGAUGGUGAGGUUCAAUAUCCUCAGGUUUAUUUAUAGGAUAUCUGCAUAGACCCCGUGUACAAAAGAGGCAAAAAUACAGUUAGUGAUUCAGACUGAUGAAGGUAAGUAACAGGGCAUACCUAAUUUCAUUGCAAAUCUUGGCUAGUUAGGCCAGAUUUUUCAGUUUGACUACUGGGAGCUGCAUUCCAAGUAUUAUAUCCCUGUCUUUAGAAUUUGUAGGGGAAUGAAGUUUAUCAAAAUAUUCCCUAGUUUUAUACCUACAGUAUCCUGCAUCUCCGGGUGACAAGGCUCACACUGUGCCCUGCGUCCUUGCUGCUGACCACCCUGUGCAGGGCUGCUGGCCCAUGGCUGAGCAAUGAGCAGGCUGGAUGUGUGUCUGCUCUCAUAAACACCCAGCAGGACUGUCCUCUGCCCCAGCAGGACUGUCCCCUGCCCCAGCAGCCCUGCCUCUGCCUGCCCCUGGCUUCAGCCACACACCCUUUGCAGGGCACUUCCCGGACAGCAGGCUCCAGGUAAGCCAUAACCAUCUCUCCCAACACAUCCCUGCCUUUUUUGUGCUGUGGAAAGGAGAAGAGGAUGGAUGGAAGGUGCUAAAUCCUGACACUCAAAACUGGAGAGAGCAUCUUGGCUGUGUUUAAUGUGAAGGAGAGCAGAGCCCAGUGCUGCAGAGGGCUGCGAGGACUGACCUCACCCUCAGGGCUGCUUUCCCUGGGCUUUCAAAGUGUGCAUGUUUGUAGGGUUUGUUUGCUUUGCAGUGGCAUUAUUAAUAACUAAAAAUCUCUUUUCGUUGGACUCCAGACCCAAAGUAGUGCUGGCAGUGAUUUAAUGCUUUUUUUUUUCCUCCCUGGCAGUCCCUGCAGUUGGCUCCUGGUAUGCGGCUGUGGCAGGACGUGGAGUCCAGCAGCCUUAGUAUGGGUUCCAGCUCUCUCUCAUUUGAACUGGGAAGUAUCCUAAUUCCAGCUUGCUUUUCCUGUAAUGCAUUUCAUUAUUGUUUCCACAUUGUGAGGAAGAAAUGAUAUUCAGGCUAUUUUUUUUUGCACAGACAGAUGGCCAAUAACUGAGCCUAAUGAAGAGAAUAACUUGGAUUGUGGUGUUAGUGUCAAAGAGGGGAUUACUGCAAGUCUGUCUUGUACAAACUGAGAAUGCAACAAACAUAAAUUGUAGCCAAACUAUAUUGCCAUGUGGCUUUCUUAUUUAAUUCGUUCCCUCUUCACCAACAUUUUUGCAUUGUGCAUGUUAAUGAAAGGUAAAUCAGUGUCAUUCAUGUGUAGGCAUGUGGCCUUGUCAAAAAAUAACUUUAAAAUCUUUUUUCCUAGCUCUGCCCAUAUGUGCAUUUUAGUAUUUGUCUUCCUAGAUCUCAAAUUUUCUCCCUCUUUUUGUAUGAAGUGAUAGGAAUUUAAUACAUUUUUAAUUUAUUUUUUUAUUCGUGUUGUACAUAAAAAAUGUUUGGCAAGUGUUGCCAUGCCUAAGGAUUUCUCUGACUGACUGGUGAACUGAGAACACUUAAUUGAACUUUGCUGUCUGUCUGCUCUUGGGAGAUUAUGGUUGUGCAUGCAUCCCCAAGCCUGGCAGUUGGCCUAAUUUAGGUUUAGGACCCAUUGUAUCUGGAGGCAUUCAGGGCUGGCACCUGGCCAGGCCUAUUUUAAUUGCAGCUUCUCUCAGGCUCCUUCCUGGAGCUUUGCUUUUCUCUCUCCCCUUCCCCUGAGCUGUGUGGCUGGAGAGGGUGUAGAAGAGCAAGCUGCUGACAAAGACUCCAGUCUUGGAAGGCUUACACAGCCAAACCCCUUUGGUGCAGAGCAGCCACCCAUGGACUCAUCCCACUGGGUAAAGCCCUUGGCACUCAGUGGAUCCAUUUUUUUGGACUAUGGAUGGUAACAAGAGCGAGCUCAAAAACCAAGAAGGAAAAUGUAGUUUUCACCCCACCUGUUCUAUGAAGAGAAAUCCCUGCCCAUGAAAAAGAUUUUUGUUUGCAAAAUUAUGGCCUGCAGUCAGGCUUAGGUUCCUGAGUGGGUUGUUUAAAUCAGACUGUGCAUUUUAUGUACAAAAAUUUUCUUUGUCAGAGGUUGAAUCCUGAGCCAGAGCCUACUUACUGCUGUUUUUUGAUUUGUAGCAUGCAAAUGCUUCAGCAGACAACUAAAAUUUAGGGAAAAAAAUGCUUCUAAUGUUUUAAAAAUGUUUCUAAUGUUUUAAAGAAAAAGAAGAGCCUUGCUUACGAGUUAUUACUUCACUUUCACGUUAUCCUUCAAAACUCCCUUGCCAUCUAACUAUAAUUUUUCUUCCAUUUGCCCUUUAUAGCAAGAGGAGACAGAAACCUUCAUGUAGCUUUGCAGACAGGUUAUCUGCUUUGCUGCCACUGUGUGGGGUGAUGUGGGAGCAUUUAGUCCAGAAGGGAACUUGACCUCAUUUUUCCCCUACCUUUUUCUUCAGCUAUAAAACUUUAAUUAUUACAAAUUCAAGUGGUGCUCUCCUGGUUUUUUGUUAACACAUCUUUUUAUCCAUUUACAACUGAAAUACAAAGUCAUGAAUCCUGGAAUCUCACGUUAAAAAUAUUCAAUACCAGAAAAUGAAUUAAGUGAGUUGUAGAGGAACACAGGAAUAUGGUGAAUCCUACCUUUUUUUUACAUAUAUAUAUAUGUAAAAAAAAAAGUGUAUAUAUACAUAUAUAUAUAUAUAUAUAUAUAUACACACAUGCACACGCACUUGGCACCAUAUUUUAGAAAAACAUGCAAUAGGCUAAAUGCUCUGACAUUUCUCUCUUUCCUGGAAAAAAUUUAAUUAGCUCAAAACAAUCAAUCUAAUAUCCAAUUGAUGCUUUAUUUGCAGGAUAGGUUGCACAGCUGGAAAAAGGCCGUGAAGAGUUUUUUUUUUUUUUCCCAAAAGGAAACAACUAUUAGAGAAACUGCUCAUUUUUCACCACAUUUCUUUCCUUCCUCUCUGAUAGUAUCUGUUCUGCAGCACAGCCCAGGUGCUCACAAGCACCUCUUCCAAAUGUAAGUAUUGACUACUAUUUCCAACAAUAGUAAGUGCUCUCAGAAAAAGAUCAUGGGUUGAUGGGUAAUGAUAGGGGAUAGAAGCUAGGGAAAAGCCUAUGAUUAAGACUGCAAUCAGAUCUCCUGCCAGUGAGAAUAAAAUUCACUUACUCAUUGAAGUCAACAAGACUUUUUGCAGAAAAGUUGUUCGGGGAGAAUAAUGGGAGAAUGUAGCUCACAGCAUCUGCUGCCAUGGUACUGAAAAAGAUGGUACUGGCAGAAUGAGUAGCUCAUAUGGGUGGCUGACUUUCCUGAUCACAAAUCUGAUUUGUGGUGAUCGAAUUCAACCGCAUCUGAGGUUGCUAUUGAAAUAUCUGAGAAAGUUUAACACUGAAAAGUGCACAAACAAUGCACAUGAGCCUUAAUGUUUGCCUGAAGAAACUGCUGGGAUCGAUCCAUAAAAGAACCUUUCUUCUUGAAAGCUCUCAUACCUUCCAUGAUUUGCCAGCCUUUUGUAACCAGCUCUCUGGUAAACACAGCUUUAGGACAGUCUCACCCUCCUCUGAAUUUUUAUUCUAAGCACCCUCCACACCGUGCCUGUUCAUGACAUCAGAAUGCAGAUGAGAGUUCUGCAUUUCAGCACAGGAUGUUGCAGCUGAGUUUCCCAAGUUCAGCAAUGCUAAUGGAUGGAGCCUCUGAGCCUCACCUUGCUUGACAGUUACUGUUACACAGAGGUUUCACACAGCCCCAUGGUGUUUAAAUGAAAGAAACCUAAUAUUUCAAGGAAAUAGAAAACAAACUGAAAUAUCCUGUUCUUCUCUCUUGACUAUGCAGGUGCUCAUUUAGUUCUUUUUCAUCUUCUUCUCCUCCAUAAUAAUGCUGAAGAGCUUUACAUAUUUUUUGCAUCUUUUGGGUUUUUUUACAUCUUUUUGACGCCAUGGUUUACUUGGGCUUUUUUUUUUUGGUCGGCUAUGAGGAUUUAAUUUCAUCUUUUCCUUGGUGAAAAUUGGCAACAUUUUGUAAAUUUGUGUUCUUUCAGAAUUGUCUCAAAUACUCUCGUUCCAGUUUACUUUUCUAGUAAAAAUAUUUCUUCCCAGAUGACAUUUUUGUCAACUUACUCCUGAAUCAGCAACAAUAGUUUCCUGCCUUCUUAACCUUUUUUUCUGAAAAUAUUUAAAAAAUUUGGAUUAAUUUGUCCUUUACCAGAAAAGGCUGCUUCAGAUUCUUACCAAAAUCAAUCAGUAAAAUACUUUUAAAAAGUCCUUUCCACUUAAUUUAAAAAGAAAACUAAAAGCAAAUUUCUUAGAAGUCUGAUUGUUCUAAUUGUCAAAACGAAAAACUGAAAUAUUUUUAUUGCAACAGAGUAUCUUAUCACUGCUUUGUCUAUUCUGGCUUUACAAGGGCUUUUCAGGCAGAAAUCUUUGUACUAAUUGGGGAGCAAUUAUAUACUGUGCAGGAAAUGUCAUCUUGACCGUCUUGAGCCCUGGAAGUGGUUAUCCUGAAACAUGGGGAUUAAUACUUCCUGUGUUCCCAUAGUGUGUUUUACAACUUGUUAUAUCACAAGCUCUCAGCAGACACCUGAAAUAUCAGUACUACUCAUCUUGCAGCUGUGAGUACAAAUAUUACUUCAGAGCGCUAACAACUGAAAAAGAAGCAGAAGUUAAGGGAAUGCUACUACUCACCCCUGGUAAAAAAGAGUAUUCAUUUCUGUAUGGGUAUGAUUCUGUGAUCUCCUUUGCAUGGUUUUCAGAGGUACAGUUCUCUUACCCUUAAUUUCUCUUCACAUCAAGGCUCUGUUUUCUCUGUUUUUUUCUUAUCUUUUUUCUUCUGUAAUAAAUUUGUUCAAAGAGAUGCAAUAGCUGAAUACCUUUUCAAUGCAUUAUACAGCAUUAGUUUAUAUUUAAAAACUUGUAGGAGUUUUACAUGGUCAAUUAAAUUGCUCAUUAAUUCCAGCUGGCCACUUUAGCAUUUAUGUGGUUAGGAUAAUGAAAAGUCGAGAGGAAAUGGUGUGUCAUAAGGGAAGGAAUGACAGGGGUUUUUAAUGGUGAAAGUCAUUUAACAUCUGGUAUCACAGAGAUUAUUCACUCUCCUUACCUGUUUGUCAUUGGCCUUGGAGAAUGUUUGGGAAAUCCUUAGAAAUCCAUUAAAAAAUGCGAUUUCACUAGCAUGAGAAAAUUUUCCUUCUCCCCCAAAGCAAUUGGGGAAGUCAUCAUUUGUCAUGCACUGGAAGUCAUCUGAGGAUCAACUCCAAUAAUUGCAAAUCCAUACUGGGAGCCAGGUGGACACCCUUCAUUUUUCCUGCCAGGUACCAACAGUAAAUUGGAUUUAACUGGUCCUUUUUUAUUUGUCUGCUUUCCUAGACCCAGUGCUGAAUUGGAUGUUCAUGGCCAGAGUUCUCAAAAUUUAAACAUGGGAUUAUUCAUUUCAGACUAAGAAAUUAUGUCCUCUUUGAUCAGAACUCCAGCUUCCCAGGUCCUUUAAAGAAGACUGUCCAGAGCACACGUGUGCUAGACAGCCUUCAGCUGUCUGAAAGAGAAAAUCAGGAAAAGAUGAGCCAAAGUCUCCUUUUUUCUUUUUAAAGAGAAAUAUCUAUAGAGAAACACAGUUGUAUAAGCCAAAGGAAAAGGUUCCUAGUGUAGCUUGUAAUAACGUUUAAUGAAUUACAAAUGUUGUUUAAUGAACUGACAAGUUCAGAAAAACAAAACCAACCCCAUAUCUUCUUGUAUGAUAGAAGUGUAAGCCUUAUUAUGAACACAUACACAGAAAGACAGUGUAGUAGGGUGGCCAAAUAACAAACUGAAUUCAGGACCUAAAGCAGAAGUAGAGCCGGACACAGAAGCCCUUGAAAAAUCUUGCUGGGAUGCACUUUCCAAAAAAACACCUCAAUUUGGAGGUCCAUGCAACUUAAUGUUUGCCUUCAGAUUAAGUACUGGCCAGGAUCCCAUCAAUUUUGCUCUCAGAGCUGUACAGACAAGACAUGGGAGACUGACAACUUGGCUUUCAUUUUUCCCAGGCCUCUCUUUCAGCCUAGCAAUUGUUGCUGUUUAUGUAGCUGGGUCUGGUAUGUUAAUCCCAUUAAAGAUUUUCCUUUCCUUGACUCAUAUACAAUAUAUGGGAAACAUGCUUAUCUGAUGCAAAGAAAUUCCAAGUGUCACCUUUAUUUUAAAGUCCGUAAAAUUGCUUGUCCAAUAGGUUCAGCUAAGUAUGUCCCAUGUGGGCCCUACAGAGACAGAAAAUGUCAAGCAUUAGUAUUUAUUCAAUUAUGUACUUAUAUAUAAAAAUGUAGGUAUGUAUUUCUAUACUUACAUUUGGGGUAUUGAAUAAAAUGAAAUUUGUUCAAUACAAGAUCAGUUUCUCUUGUCUUUGGUCUUAUUGAAAGAAAGUGAUUAUUUGGUUAUAAAGUCAAUAAAACCCACUGUCUCACUCAGAUAUAAACAGGUCUUUAGUUGUGUUACCACUGGGCUUUAAAAUAGUAUUUGUCAAUUAUGAGGCAAUGACUGGUGAUUAUUUCUAUGAAUGAGUUUCAGUACUGUCUAUUCACCUCUGGACCCACACUGCACUCUCUCUUUCCUCUCUCUUUUUUACCUUAGCAUGCCAUUAAUAAAGAAUGUUAUCAACACAUUUAUCUAUUCAUACUCUUCUGGACAACAUUAAAAUGGCUCUACUUCAUUCACUUCUCUGUCUCUGCUUCACAGAGGGUAGCCUGUUUUGUGACUCUCAAUAACAUGUCCAUUUCUUUUAAAUUCUCAGGAUCUUUUUGUUAGUAUAUGGAUUCUUUUUCUACCCUGACAACACUUAUUUAUUUAGUACAGUUAAACAUGGUCCUUUCAGUGAAUGUGCCAUCUAUCUGAGUAGAUUACUCUUCAUGAUUAAAGAUCCUUUCCCAAGGAUCUCAGGUCUUCCCAUCAGCUGUGCCAAUCUAAGGGCCAAAGACUUUUCAAAAUAAGUGUUUUAAUGCAAAUUUUCCCCCCCAGGAAUUAUAUAAAUUUUUAUAUUUAAAAAAGUCCUAGAUUCAGUAAUCCUUGAGCCUUCUAUUAAUCCGUAUUAUUCAUCGAUGCAGUUUCCUUGUCAGAAACUCUAAAAUUUUGACAUAACUGAGCAAUUAAGAAAUUUUUGUUUUAGGAUAAAUGUUGGUUAAUAGUACUUCCCCCCCAGUAACUAAAACCAGUCUACAACCUGUCUACAUGCCCUUAUUAAUUAAUGCCCAAGUAUUGACAAUCAAGGUAGGAUUUGUUUUCAAGCAAGUGUUGCUUGAUUCAUCACUCUCAGACCACCUUAUUAUGACUUUCUUUACAACUGUUGAUUAGUCUUUGCCUGCUAAUAUUAAUUAGAUGCUUAAACAUCCUGUACCAUCAAGGAUUAUCAGGUUUCAUUAGUAAUGUUUUUUGAACUGGAUGCCAAGAAAGUGUUUGGUCACAAUGGAUUGUAAUAUCUAUUUUUAGAAACAUUUGAAUUUGCUGCCUCACUUACUAAAAGAAUUAAGUCUGUGUCUUAUUAAGACGCAGCUAAAGUUCAAGUUAUUAACAGAUUUCAUAUGCUUUUCCCGUGAAGGGUGAGACUGGAACAUUUGAGUUAGGACAUUUUUUCUGUAGUGUAUUUAUUUGCUUAUGGUUUCUGUAGAUGCCAGUAAAAUUAGCACAUCUAUAGCCUCAGAUAUCAGUAAGCACUGUGCCUUAUCUACUGUACGUGCUAGGAAAUUAGGACACAUUUGGCAACUAUUUAUAACACUUCAAACUCCUAAUUACUGUGAUAACUAGCAAUUAUUAAUAAGGUUAGGCAUCCUUAUAUACAGGUUGUUUAGUGAUGGAGAGGACAGGCAUGCUGUGUAGAAGGAUCUUCUUGUUUCCUGAAAUACCAGUGGACAAACUUCCAUAUAAAAAUGGCAGCUUUGCAUGUUCUGAAGCAAUCUUCGGAAAGGUAAGUCUUUGAAUGGUUAUGCCUUAUUUCAAUUUCUUCUGCAUUUGAAGCUAUGAGCCAAGUUCUAAUAGUCUUAAAAAACAUCACCAGCUGUGAACAGUUGGAUUUGUUUAUCUGGAACAACACUACCUGUAGAAAUGGGGACAGAGGCUGAAUUUUAUGGAGCAGACUCGCUGCUGUCAAAGAGUCAAGUCCUGCAGUGCUGUAUUUUUUGUGUGCCAGGUAAAUGACGAAUCUGUCAUGACCUGUGCUUCUCAUUCACUGAAGACAUGUGAUUUCCAGGAGUUGCCCAAUGGUGUGGGAUGGCAAAGUGUGGGAUUUCUGAUAAAGGAAAGGUUAUCACUGAAGAAAAUGUGCUCUAGACAUCUUCUGAGUCAAUGAAGUUGAGUCUUAAUUCAGUACUGUGCAGAAGUCAGCUGAAUACUUAAAAAACACCUAGCACAUUCAUAAAAGAGGGCAAGAAAUUCUUCCUUGAGAGAACAUACUGUGGGCUUGGGGUUUAUUGUUUUCCCCAUACGUGAAGAGGUCAAAUACCAGAGUGUGAUUGAGCCUGGAGGGCAGUGACUGAAUUAAAUGAAGUAGUGGUUACUGAAUAAAACCUUUUGAGACAAAUAAA